rnacentral:rRNA from 1 species
ACGCUGGCGGCGUGCCUAAUACAUGCAAGUCGAACGCACUCUCGUUUAGAUUGAAGGAGCUUGCUCCUGAUUGAUAAACAUUUGAGUGAGUGGCGGACGGGUGAGUAACACGUGGGUAACCUGCCCUAAAGUGGGGGAUAACAUUUGGAAACAGAUGCUAAUACCGCAUAAAACCUAACACCGCAUGGUGUAGGGUUGAAAGAUGGUUUCGGCUAUCACUUUAGGAUGGACCCGCGGUGCAUUAGUUAGUUGGUGAGGUAAAGGCUCACCAAGACCGUGAUGCAUAGCCGACCUGAGAGGGUAAUCGGCCACACUGGGACUGAGACACGGCCCAGACUCCUACGGGAGGCAGCAGUAGGGAAUCUUCCACAAUGGACGAAAGUCUGAUGGAGCAACGCCGCGUGAGUGAAGAAGGUUUUCGGAUCGUAAAACUCUGUUGUUGGAGAAGAAUGUAUCUGAUAGUAACUGAUCAGGUAGUGACGGUAUCCAACCAGAAAGCCACGGCUAACUACGUGCCAGCAGCCGCGGUAAUACGUAGGUGGCAAGCGUUGUCCGGAUUUAUUGGGCGUAAAGCGAGCGCAGGCGGUUUCUUAAGUCUGAUGUGAAAGCCUUCGGCUCAACCGAAGAAGUGCAUCGGAAACUGGGAAACUUGAGUGCAAAAGAGGACAGUGGAACUCCAUGUGUAGCGGGGAAAUGCGUAGAUAUAUGGAAGAACACCA